rnacentral:rRNA from 1 species
UACGGAGGGUGCAAGCGUUAUCCGGAUUCACUGGGUUUAAAGGGUGCGUAGGCGGCUUUGUAAGUCAGUGGUGAAAUAUGGCAGCUCAACUGUCAGGGUGCCAUUAAUACUGCGGAGCUUGAGUACAGAUGAGGUAGGCGGAAUUGACGGUGUAGCGGUGAAAUGCUUAGAUAUCGUCAAGAACACCGAUAGCGAAGGCAGCUUACUGGGCUGUAACUGACGCUGAGGCACGAAAGCGUGGGGAGCAAACAGG